rnacentral:RNase_P_RNA from 1 species
GAGGAAAGUCCGGGCUCUAUUUAGAGAAAUAUAGCUGUAUAAAGCACAGUGUAGGUAACUACGAGGAUAGUGCCACAGAAAUAUACCGCCUAUAUUUUAUUAUUAGGUAAGGAUGCAAAGGUACGGUAAGAGCGUACCAGAAAUGUUAUUAAGAUAUUUGCUAGGUAAACCCCGUAAAAGAGCAAAGUAAUUAGCUAAUAUUAUAAUUUUCUUUAUUAUUAUAUAAUUAAAGUUAAUUUAUUUAUACUGCAAGAAGUAAAUUUUAUAUAUUUAAUAUACUCAAGAUUAAUAAUUACCCUUUUUGUAUUAAAUUUACAAAUAAGAACAAAAUCCGGCUUAU